UACGGGGGGGGCAAGCGUUGUUCGGAAUUACUGGGCGUAAAGGGCUCGUAGGCGGCCAACUAAGUCGGAUGUGAAAUCCCCAGGCUCAACCUGGGAACUGCAUCCGAUACUGGAUGGCUUGAAUCCGGGAGAGGGAUGCAGAAUUCCAGGUGUAGCGGUGAAAUGCGUAGAUAUCUGGAGGAAUACCGGUGGCGAAGGCGGCAUCCUGGACCGGCAUUGACGCUGAGGAGCGAAAGCCAGGGGAGCGAACGGG
rnacentral:rRNA from 1 species